rnacentral:rRNA from 1 species
ACGGGGGGAGCAAGCGUUGUUCGGAAUUACUGGGCGUAAAGGGCGCGUAGGUGGCCAUCUAAGUUGAACGUGAAAUCCCUGGGCUCAACCCAGGAACUGCGUCCAAGACUGGGAGGCUUGAAUCCGGGAGAGGGAUGCGGAAUUCCAGGUGUAGCGGUGAAAUGCGUAGAUAUCUGGAGGAACACCGGUGGCGAAGGCGGCAUCCUGGACCGGUAUUGACACUGAGGCGCGAAAGCCAGGGGAGCAAACGGGA